rnacentral:rRNA from 1 species
CCUACGGGAGGCAGCAGUGAGGAAUAUUGGUCAAUGGGCGCGAGCCUGAACCAGCCAAGUAGCGUGAAGGAUGACUGCCCUACGGGGUGUAAACUUCUUUUAUAAAGGAAUAAAGUGAGGCACGUGUGCCAUUUUGUAUGUACUUUAUGAAUAAGGAUGGGCUAACUCCGUGCCAGCAGCCGCGGUAAGACGGAGGAUCCGAUCGUUAUCCGGAUUUAUUGGGUUUAAGGGGGGCGUAGAUGGGUUGUAAAGUCAGUUGUGAAAGUUUGCGGCUCAACCGGAAAAUUGCAAUUGAUACUGGCAGUCUUGAGUACAGUUGAGGUAGGAGGAAUUCGUGGUGUAGCGGUGAAAUGCUUAGAUAUCACGAAGAACUCCGAUUGCGAAGGCAGCUUACUAAACUGCCACUGACAUUGAUGCUCGAAAGUGUGGGUAUCAAACAGGAUUAGAUACCCGUGUAGUC